UGAUAGGUGAUGAUAGAUGAUGAUGAUAGGUGGUGAUGAUAGGUGAUGAUAGAUGAUGAUGAUAGGUGAUGAUGACAGGGGGUGAUAGGUGAUGAUGAUACAUGAUGAUAGGUGAUGAUAUAUGAUGGUAGGUGAUGAUGAUACAUGAUGUCAGAUGAUGAUAGGUGAUGAUAGGUGAUGAUGAUAUAUGAUGGUAGGUGAUGAUGAUACAUGAUGGUAGGUGAUGAUAGAUGAUGAUAGAUGAUGAUGAUAGGUGAUGAUAGGUGAUGAUAGAUGAUGAUGAUAGGUGAUGAUAGGUGGUGAUGAUAGGUGAUGAUAGAUGAUGAUGAUAGGUGAUGAUGACAGGGGGUGAUAGGUGAUGAUGAUACAUGAUGAUAGGUGAUGAUAUAUGUAUAUGAUGGUAGGUGGUGAUGAUACAUGAUGUCAGAUGAUGAUAGGUGAUGAUAGGUGGUGAUGAUAGGUGAUGAUAGACGAUGAUGAUAGGUGAUGAUGAUAGGUGAUGAUUGAUGAUGAUAGGUGGUGAUGAUAGGUGGUGAUGAUAGGUGAUGAUAGCUUCAUGCAAUACC
ensembl:lncRNA